ACCCAUUUCAGGUUGUUUGGAUCCGCAUAAUUUAUUCAGAAACAAAAUAUGAAAACCAC
rnacentral:tRNA from 1 species